UACAGAGGGUGCAAGCGUUGUUCGGAAUCAUUGGGCGUAAAGCGCACGUAGGCGGCUUUGCAAGUCGGGUGUGAAAGCCUGGGGCUCAACCCCAGAAGUGCAUUCGAAACUGCAGAGCUUGAGUCUUGGAGAGGGUGGUGGAAUUCCGAGUGUAGAGGUGAAAUUCGUAGAUAUUAGGAAGAACACCAGUGGCGAAGGCGGCUCACUGGCCCGGUACUGACGCUGAGGCGCGAAAGCGUGGGGAGCAAACAGG
rnacentral:rRNA from 1 species